UUGAAGUUCUAACUUUGUCUCAUUUUCUCCGGAACUUAGUAUUUUGGUCAGGUAAAGCACUUGCCUCUGUUUCAUUAAGGUUUUUUCUUCUUCUGAGAUUUUAUCCUGUUCUUUCAUUUGGAACAAGUUCCUUUGUUUCUGUAUUUUCUUUGACUCUCUGUGUUGGUUGCUAUGCAACCAUAGAAAACAGCCACAUUUCCCAACCUGAAGGAGUGAGAUCAUGAAGGAGAUGAAACUAUUAUUCAACCUUGCUCUAGCUCUUCAUGGUAUCUCAAAACUUUGUGUUUGUCCAAGCCUCCUAUUUUGUUCCUAGUGGCUCCCAAUAAUUGAGGGUGCACUAGGACCUGUGGGUGCCCCAAAGGGAGAUCUCAGUCAGCAACUAGAUUCAAGCUGAUUGAAAACAAGAACCUAAGGCAACAGGAUUUAAAAUGUGCAAAUGUACCUCUUUCAGGGGAAGCGUGGGAGACAGGCGUUAUUGUCUGCCCCUCUGCACUGAGCCCUGGGCUGACGGCCAAUGAAGAGCCAUUUCUUUGUUUGUUACCUUCCCACUGAAUCUGUGAACACAAGCCUCGCUGGACACCAGGGCCAAGCUACCAAGGAAUGUUUUCUCAAGGUGGCAGCCACAAAAUCUGGGCCACCAAAGAAGUAUAUAAGCAGCUCCUUUCUUGGAGACACUGGAAACAUGGGGCUAGGAAGAGGAAAAGUGUGAAGAUGGUGCCCACCAGCCUUCCCAGUCUCUGAAGAGGUCGUCAGUGUUCAAAUAAAAGCAUGCCCCACAGGCCACAGCUGUACAGAUAAGCUAAUAAGCUGCUUUUACAGAAAUGACACAAGAUAAUACACAAUAUAAGGAAAGUACUUAUUCUCCAGAAUUGGCAAAAUGGCAGCAAAGUGAUAACCAUCCAUCCUGACUGACCUCCUGCUAACUUCGCUCCAACACACCAAUCUGAGUGAUCUUGAACAGGCAUUGUUACCCAAAACAUCAGGCUGGCUUACAUCGCCAUGACUUCAUGCUCUUCUGGAUGCUUGGCUCCUUAGAGAACACCUGCCCAUCUUCAGAGAGCAAACCCAAGGUGAUGCUGUGAAGCCUUAUCUGGCAACCUCCCCUCUUUUGUGAACAGUGCACAUUCACUUCUGUUGGGCAUAUUCCUAAGAGUGGAAUUGCUAGGGCACAAGAGUGAAGAAAUCCUACUUGAACUGUGAAGCAUCAUCAAAAGAAACAAUCUCUUUCUGGGACUUCCAAAGUAAGGAUAAAAGAGGGAGAAAGGAACAGAAAACAUAAUGAUUGAAAACUCCCCCAGUCUGGGGAGGGAUAUGAUCAUCCAGGCACAGGAAGCUCCAAGAGCAAUCUUUACCAAGACACAUUAUAAUCAACCUCUGAAGAACCAAAGACAAAAAUCUCUAAACAAAGAACUAUUACCUACAAAGAAAUCCCAAAAAGGUCUUCAGCAGAUUUUUCAGCAGAAAUCUUUCAGGGGAGGAGAGAGUAGGGUGAUAUAUUCAAAGUGCUCAAAGAAAAAAAACUCAUCUAAGAAUACUUUACCCAGCAAAGCUGUUAUUCAGACAUGAAGGAGAGAUAAAGAUAUUCCUAGAUAAACAAAAGCCACCAAAUCGACCUACAAGUAAUGGUAAAUGAGUUUUCAAACUAGAACAAAAGGAUGCUACUUAGUAACAUGAAAAUAUAUUAAAGUAAGAAGCUUACUGGUAAAGGUAUAUUAAAAUUCAAAAUAAUAA